rnacentral:rRNA from 1 species
AGAGUUUGAUCCUGGCUCAGGACGAACGCUGGCGGCGUGCUUAACACAUGCAAGUCGAACGGAAAGGCCCUUCGGGGUACUCGAGUGGCGAACGGGUGAGUAACACGUGGGUGAUCUGCCCUGCACUUUGGGAUAAGCCUGGGAAACUGGGUCUAAUACCGAAUAUGACCACGCUCUUCAUGGGGUGUGGUGGAAAGCUUUUGCGGUGUGGGAUGGGCCCGCGGCCUAUCAGCUUGUUGAUGGGGUAAUGGCCUACCAAGGCGACGACGGGUAGCCGGCCUGAGAGGGUGACCGGCCACACUGGGACUGAGAUACGGCCCAGACUCCUACGGGAGGCAGCAGUGGGGAAUAUUGCACAAUGGGCGCAAGCCUGAUGCAGCGACGCCGCGUGAGGGAUGACGGCCUUCGGGUUGUAAACCUCUUUCACCAGGGACGAAGCGCAAGUGACGGUACCUGGAGAAGAAGCACCGGCCAACUACGUGCCAGCAGCCGCGGUAAUACGUAGGGUGCGAGCGUUGUCCGGAAUUACUGGGCGUAAAGAGCUCGUAGGUGGUUUGUCGCGUUGUUCGUGAAAACUCACAGCUUAACUGUGGGCGUGCGGGCGAUACGGGCAGACUAGAGUACUGCAGGGGAGACUGGAAUUCCUGGUGUAGCGGUGGAAUGCGCAGAUAUCAGGAGGAACACCGGUGGCGAAGGCGGGUCUCUGGGCAGUAACUGACGCUGAGGAGCGAAAGCGUGGGGAGCGAACAGGAUUAGAUACCCUGGUAGUCCAA